UCAUUAAAUCAGUUAUCGUUUAUUUGAUAGUACCUUACUACUUGGAUAACCGUGGUAAUUCUAGAGCUAAUACAUGCUAAAAACCUCGACUUCGGAAGGGGUGUAUUUAUUAGAUAAAAAACCAAUGCCCUUCGGGGCUUCUUGGUGAUUCAUAAUAACUUAACGAAUCGCAUGGCCUUGUGCCGGCGAUGGUUCAUUCAAAUUUCUGCCCUAUCAACUUUCGAUUGUAAGGUAUUGGCUUACAAUGGUUUCAACGGGUAACGGGGAAUUAGGGUUCUAUUCCGGAGAGGGAGCCUGAGAAACGGCUACCACAUCCAAGGAAGGCAGCAGGCGCGCAAAUUACCCAAUCCCGACACGGGGAGGUAGUGACAAUAAAUACUGAUACAGGGCUCUUUUGGGUCUUGUAAUUGGAAUGAGUACAAUUUAAAUCCCUUAACGAGGAACAAUUGGAGGGCAAGUCUGGUGCCAGCAGCCGCGGUAAUUCCAGCUCCAAUAGCGUAUAUUAAAGUUGUUGCAGUUAAAAAGCUCGUAGUUGAACCUUGGGCCUGGCUGGCCGGUCCGCCUCACCGCGUGCACUGGUCCGGCCGGGCCUUUCCUUCUGGGGAACCGCAUGCCCUUCACUGGGUGUGUCGGGGAACCAGGACUUUUACUUUGAAAAAAUUAGAGUGUUCAAAGCAGGCCUAUGCUCGAAUACAUUAGCAUGGAAUAAUAGAAUAGGACGUUGUGGUUCUAUUUUGUUGGUUUCUAGGACCGCCGUAAUGAUUAAUAGGGAUAGUCGGGGGCAUCAGUAUUCAAUUGUCAGAGGUGAAAUUCUUGGAUUUAUUGAAGACUAACUACUGCGAAAGCAUUUGCCAAGGAUGUUUUCAUUAAUCAGUGAACGAAAGUUAGGGGAUCGAAGACGAUCAGAUACCGUCGUAGUCUUAACCAUAAACUAUGCCGACUAGGGAUCGGGCGAUGUUAUCUUUUUGACUCGCUCGGCACCUUACGAGAAAUCAAAGUCUUUGG
rnacentral:rRNA from 3 species